GAAAAGAUCUUCUACAACUAAAGUCAUGAAGAAGAAACCACAACAAGACAGGUCUGAUCUUGAAAGAGGAAGUGAAGUGGGAAGAUAUCUGCCUACAACCCAUUCUAGGAAAAAGAAACUAUAGUGGUUAAGAUGCUGAAUUGAACCCACACAUCUAAUUUUGCUCCCUCCUGAAACCCAC